ACCUAUUGGACCCGGGGGCGGUACCCGGCGCCUCCACCAAAAUAUAAACCACCAAAAUUAUGUUUUGGUGGGGGCGAAACAGGAUCGACAAAGGUGUAAAGAUCGCUCUUUUACUCGGCAUUGUACCACCGUUAUCGGACUAAAUGAGUAGUUGCAAAUGACAACUAUGCGGAAGCACGUCUCGCCGCGUAAGGUGGUGUGAAUGUUUCAAAUUGACUCUUAGACCGUCGCAGGUUUAAGCGGGGUUCGAAGG
rnacentral:tmRNA from 1 species